CUAUAUUCUUGUGUACUAGAUAAGGGCACCUUCUCAUGGACUCCCUUUGCUUUUCAACAAGGAGUACCCACUACUUUUUAAGAUUCUUAUAUUUGUCCAAAGUACAUGGUUUUAAUUGACCACAACAAUGUCCCUUGGAGAUUAAUGUACGUAAUCACCACAUGGUUCAUCCUAAUUAAACAAGGUUCUACCCUCUCACCCUCCAUUUGCAGUAUACCAGGGUUGCUCACCCCAUAAGUCCCCUUUUCUUGGCUUGUUGACAUGCAUAAUUGCAUUUAUGUGGGUUCUUGUGCCCUAGACAAGGAUGCCCCACCUCUUUUCAAUAGUGGGUGCCCACUCCUUAUGAUCUUUACAUUUGAACAGUUAAUGUGAAUAAUUGCAGUUGUCCACAGCCCUAUCACUUCUAGGACCAUUGUACCUCUUUUGCAUUACUGUGGGGUAUACUGUUUCCCUCCAAGGCCCCUUCUGGUGGACUAUCAACAUAUAAUUGAAAUUUUCUUUUGUCUUUGUCAGUAGAUUAAGGUCAUACCCCAUCACCUUUCCUUUGUAGUACAGCAGGGUGUCCUGAUCAACCAAAGUCCUGUUGUUUUGGACUGUUAAUAUGUGCAAUUACAUUUGCUCCUGAUCUGUGCACUAGAUAAGGAUCCUACCUACUUUCUUAGCGUUUUUAGCAGGUAGUGACCGCUACUCAAGACUGUCACUUGGAAUGUUCAUGUGCACAAACUCAAUUCUCUAAGCAUGUCCUGUACCACCUUUGCUUUAGAGCAGGGGGAUGAUAUUCACUAAGUGCCCCUUCUUUUGGACUUAAUAUGCAUUAAUGCAAUUGUCCACCUCUUCUUUUAGACUAAGAGUUGAUCUCCACAUACUCCCCUUGCAUCAGGGGCAUGUUAAUUAUGAAUGAACCCUUUUCUUUUAAUAUUAAUGUCAUAAUUGUAUUUAUGGACCUGUGUAGUAGAAAAAGACCCUAUGUUCCUCCCAUUACCCUUUGGAUUGCUGCUGAGAAGUGUUAACUACUCAUAAUCUCAGCUCUUGGACAAUUAAUAGCAUUAAUAACAAUUAUCAAGGGCACUGAUCAUUAGAUAAGACUCCUGCCUCCUCGUUGCCUACAUCGGGGGUACUGACCCACUAAGGCCCCUUGUACUGCUAAUGUGAAUAUUUGCAAUUAUAUAUGUCUCCUUCUGUUAGAGUGGGAUAUUAUGCCCUAGUAUCCCCUUUGCAUUACUGCGGGGGCUGCUGACUACUCAAAACUUCUCCUGGGACUGUGAAUAGGCACAAUGGCAGUUAUCAGUGGUUUUCUCCCUCCCUGACCUUGUUAAGCAAGCGCCCCACCCCACCCUUAGUUUCCCAUGGCAUAAUAAAGUAUAAGCAUUGGAGUAUUCCAUGCACUUGUCUAUCAAACAGUGGUCCAUACUCCCAACCCUUUUGCAUUGCGCCAGUGUAAAAUCACAGGUAGCCAUGGUGUCAUGCUUUAUAUACGAAGUCUUCCCUCUCUCUGCCCCUUGUGUGCCCUUGGCCCCUUUUUACAGACUAUUGCUCACAAUCUCAGGUGUCCAUAUAUCCAGCUAUUAGGUAAGAUUGUGCUGUCUCCCUCCUCCCUUCCCUCUGCCCUGCCCCUUUUGCCUCUUUGCUGGGUAAUGUUGACCGGACAAGGCCCUUUCUCUUGGACUUAAACAAUUCUCAGUUGCACUUUCCUUGGUCCUACCCAUUAUACAUGAACCCCUCUACUUCCUUUCGCAUUGCUUCUGAGUAUGCUGACUACCCAAAGCCCCUUCUGUGUUAUUAAUAAACACAGUACUGAUUGUCCCAUUUUUCAGCCCAUCAGUCCAAGAUCUCCCUACCACUUUGGUGUGUUGGUGCAGUGUUGACUAUGAAAAGCAGGCCUGAACUAGGUGGAUAAGCCUUCACUCAUUUUCUUUCAUUUAUUAAUGAUCCUAGUUUCAAUUAUUGUCAGAUUCUGGGGACAAGAACCAUUCUUGCCCACCUGUGUUACUGCUUUACUGUGCAAAAUACUGAAGGCAAGUCAGACCCAGGGAGCUGGAUUGCCAUCCUUUAUUUUGUGUUUCCAGUAUACACUAUCAAAUUGUCUCCCCAGGAAGGAAGGUUGGCACUUUCUCUGCAUUCUUCUUUCCAGAGCAGAUUGCCUGGUUAAGAAUCUCUUGUUGUCCCCUUUGUAUAUUGUUAUUGUAAAGUGCCAAAUGCCAGGAUACAGCCAGAAAAAUUGCGAAAGACAUCUGGAUUGUAGGGUGGACUCGAUAACCUGGUCAUUAUUUUUUUGAAGCCAAAAUAUCCACUUAUACUAUGUACCUGGUGACCAGUGUCUCUC
rnacentral:lncRNA from 1 species